rnacentral:rRNA from 1 species
GCGGCGUGGAUUAGGCAUGCAAGUCGAACGAGAAAGCGGUUUUUAAUCGUGAGUAAAGUGGCGAAUGGGUGAGUAACACGUGGGAAACCUGCCCUAGAGUGGGGAAUAACAUUUCUAACGAAAUGCUAAUACCGCAUAAUAUUACAGAACGCAUGUUCUGUAUUCAAAGGAAGCCUCUAUUUAUAAGCUUUCGCUCAAGGAUGGUCCCGCGUCCAAUUAGCUAGUUGGUAGGGUAACGGCCUACCAAGGCGACGAUUGGUAGCCGGCCUGAGAGGGUGUCCGGCCACACUGGGACUGAGACACGGCCCAGACUCCUACGGGAGGCAGCAGUCGAGAAGCUUCGGCAAUGGGGGAAACCCUGACCGAGCGACGCCGCGUGGGUGAUGAAGUCCUUCGGGAUGUAAAGCCCUGUCAUACGGGAUGAAAAAUUGAUUGGUUAAUUACCUUUUGAUCUGACAGUACUGUAAGAGGAAGCUCCGGCUAACUCCGUGCCAGCAGCCGCGGUAAUACGGGGGGAGCAAGCGUUAUUCGGAUUUACUGGGCAUAAAGGGUUCGUAGGCUGUCUUGAAAGUCAGAGGUGAAAUCUAGCGGCUUAACCGCUAAAUUGCCUUUGAAACUACUUGACUUGAGGACAGGAGAGGAAAGCGGAAUUCUUGGUGUAGC